rnacentral:rRNA from 1 species
GUUCAGAACGUCGUGAGACAGUUCGGUCCCUAUCUGUUGCGGGCGUAAGAGAUUUGAAGGGAGCUGUCCUUAGUACGAGAGGACCGGGAUGGACUGACCUCUGGUGCACCAGUUGUUCUGCCAAGGGCAUAGCUGGGUAGCUACGUCGGGACGAGAUAAACGCUGAAGGCAUCUAAGCGUGAAACUCCCCCUAAGAUAAGAUCUCUCAUCCUGAAAAGGAGUAAGGCUCGUCGUAGACUAUGACGUUGAUAGGUCAGGGGUGGAAGCACAGUAAUGUGUGUAGCUGACUGAUACUAAUAAGCCGAGGGCUUGACCUA